rnacentral:rRNA from 1 species
GAUCGCCUCGCGGCCCAUCAGCUUGUUGGUGAGGUAACGGCUCACCAAGGCUUCGACGGGUAGCUGGCGUGAGAGCGCGACCAGCCACACUGGGACUGAGACACGGCCCAGACUCCUACGGGAGGCAGCAGUGGGGAAUCUUGCGCAAUGGGCGAAAGCCUGACGCAGCGACGCCGCGUGAGGGAUGAAGGCUCUCGGGUUGUAAACCUCUUUCAGCGGGGACGAAGCGAAAGUGACGGUACUCGCAGAAGAAGCCCCGGCCAACUACGUGCCAGCAGCCGCGGUAAUACGUAGGGGGCGAGCGUUGUCCGGAUUUAUUGGGCGUAAAGGGCUCGUAGGUGGCUUGGCAAGUCGGACGUAAAAGUCCAGGGCUCAACCCUGGGAUGCGUUCGAUACUGUCAGGCUAGAGGCCGGUAGGGGGAUCUGGAAUUCCUGGUGUAGCGGUGAAAUGCGCAGAUAUCAGGAGGAACACCGGUGGCGAAGGCGGGAUCCUGGGCCGGACCUGACACUGAUGAGCGAAAGCUGGGGGAGCAAACAGGAUUAGAUACCCUGGUAGUCCCAGCCGUAAACGAUGGGUGCUAGGUGU